CUGAAAAAUGAGAAGUCUCACUUUCCCAAGGAAGCCACCGUGAUGGGAAUCAGCUCCUGUGAGGCCUUCUCCUGAGGGCGGGGCAGGCCUCUCUCUUGACCCAGCACAGGCAGUGUGUGCAAGGAAGAGGAAGAGCAGGAGGGCAGACAUGUUCGGUGGAUGCACUCAGAGCACCCCCACAGUGCCAGCCUCCUGCAGGCACCUGGUGCAAGUUAGUGAAACAAAUGCACGGACAGAGGGGACAACUACAGUGCCUGUGCUCGUGGGGCCACUGUGAAGACUGCAUGAAUUCCACCUGGACACCUCGCCAACAUCUUGAGGUCAGCUUGUGCUGAUCUCCAGAAUCCAUCCCCUCCCACCCCCGCUGCCCUGCUUCUACCUCUUCUCAGGCUCACCCAGUGUUACGGGCACUUCCCCUGCCCCAGGCCCUACAGCACCCAGCCUCUCCUUCAGCCUGGGGAGAAGGGAAGGGAGCAAAGGACUGUGGGAAGAAGGGAAGACAGCAGGGCUGGAAGCCUGCUUUAGGUACAACUAGGGGCCUUUUAAAUCUGCCACAAUGCUAUGUAGAAGAGACAAAAAUAAAUAUUGGAAAG
ensembl:lncRNA